rnacentral:rRNA from 1 species
ACUCAAAUGAAUUGACGGGGACCCGCACAAGCGGUGGAGGAUGUGGUUUAAUAUGACGCUACGCGUAGAACCUUACCGAGGCUUGACAUCCUUGGAACCUGGUGGAAACAUCGGGGUGCCUUUUGGAGCCAAGUGACAGGUGCUGCAUGGCCGUCGUCAGCUCGUGUUGUGAAAUGUUGGGUUAAGUCCCGCAACGAGCGCAACCCUUAUCGUAUGUUGUAUUUUUCAUGCGAGACUGCCCGGGCCAACCGGGAGGAAGGUGGGGAUGAAGUCAGGUCGGCAUGGCCCUUACGCCUCGGGCUACACACGUCCUACAAUGGCCGGUACAACGCGCCGCGAAGCCGCGAGGCGGAGCUAAUCGCAACAAAACCGGUCCCAGUUCGGAUUGGAGGCUGCAACUCGCCUCCAUGAAGUCGGAAUCGCUAGUAACCGUAGGUCAGCAUACUGCGGUGAAUACGUUCCCGGGUCUUGUACACACCGCCCGU